CGGGCGUGUAAGCAGGAUGGUGGGAGGCUGUUGAAUGCUGCUCUGUGCUGGCAGGUGCGGGCCGGACAGAUUUUCCCGUGGUAGCGGCAUCCCUCCAACAUGUGUCCCCACAGCCUCUUCUGAGGCCGCCCCCACUCCACCAACACACCACCGCAUACAUGAACCGAGCGGGCCCAAAAGCUACGAGCACAAGGCUGAGGAGGACACGCUGCAAGGCUGCUCUGAGGAUUCAGGAUUCCAAAAGCUCCAGCGUAACAGCUGGCCGCCUCUGGCCUCUGAAAACCCCCCUGGUGGAUGGAACACGGCGGGCUGACCUCCGCGCUGGAGGACGGGAGAUGUGCCUUUGACUGAAUUAGCCAUAAAGACGUCUUGCUAUGAUCUUUGUUGUGGCUGAAAGCGGAGGGGAUAUUAGAGGCACAGCUGAAACUCAGCCUGCUGGGCUGUAAGUCAGAGCUUCCAGUGGCUGGUGGCCAGUGCUGACUGGGAAAGCUUCCAGCCUCAGAGGGACUGCGAUUAACCCAGAAGCAGUCAAGCUCGGCAGGAAGCCCUCCGCAACCAGCUACUGCUAUUUAUCCACUUUCCAAUUACUUUUACAGCGACUCUCAACCUGACACUAUAUGUGUUGUUCUUGCAGACCAAUAGAGUAUGGCUGUGAAAGGAGAGGCAGACAUGAAGAAGGAAACCCUCCUGAGCUGCUUCAACAGGCUGUAAAAUAUACCUAAAGUUAGUAUCCAUGGAAACUCACUGAUCUGUGAGAACAGCCUGAAGGACACACAACACUUUUCUUUACCUCAGGUACAUUAUUAGUCAUAGUACAGUGUAUAUAGUGCUUAACAAAUUUAUUAGAACACCUGUCAUAAAAGUGAGAAAAUUAUUUUAGAAAUUUGCCAAAAAAUUAUAAACUAAAAAAUAUAUUGUUAUUUAUCAGGCAGAUACCAAACUGGAACAACUAAACAGUCCUUAUUCACAUACAUUAACCAAAAGUCUUAAUAUUUUGUGUGACCUCGUUUGGCCCUGAUAACAGCUUGCAUUCUUCCUGCUUUUGCUUUUAUGUACUUUUCAAUAGUCUGUUUUGUUAUUGAGUUCCAAAUACUUUCUAGCUGUUCCUAGAGACUUUCUUUGCAUGAAACUUUUGUACGAUCUAUUUUUGAAUUCUAUAAAUCCCAGAUCUGUUCAAUAGGAUUCAAGUCUGGACUUGGUCAGUCCAUCAAUUCCAGAACUCCAGAUUCAUUUUUCGUGACCCAGUAGUCUCUGUACAGCUUUGAAGUAUGCUUGGGAUCAUUGUAUUCUUGAUGUAUGAACCCAUGACCAAUCAGAUUCAAUCCAGAAGAGAUUCCUUGAUGCACCAAGAUGUUGUGGUAGACCUUCUUGUUCAUGAAAGCAUCCAUUUGAACUAAUUUGUCCAUGCCGUUUCCACAAAUGGAACCCCAUACCAUAAUGGAAUCUCCACAGUGUUUCACUUUGGGUGUAAUGUAUCUAGUAUCAAAACGUUCUCCAGCUUUUCUGCAGACAAAAACAUGAUGAUGCUGACUGAAGAAUUCAAACUUGGACUCAUCCAUCCAAAGUACCUUCUUCCAGUCAUCUACAGUCUAGUAUUUGUGCUGCCUGGAAAAUUUUAGGUAUUUGGAUGUUUGCAGGCCUCAAUAAUGGCUUCUUAGCAACUGACCUUCCCUUUAAACCUUCAGUCGUCUGCUUAUGGUCAUUCUGGAGACUUUCUCAGAUUCUGAUCUAGAAGCAUUAAUCGCUGCCUGAAGAUCAGCAGUGGUUGUGUAAUCAGCAAUAUUGGUAAUUUAGGGCAGCGGUGGCAAACACCUUAAACUGAGUGGUGGUCUAAUAAAUCUGUUAAUUCCUAUACAUACAUACAUACUUAUGUGUGUACGUGUGUGCGUGUGCGUGUGCAUGUGUGUGUGUGUGUGUGUGUGUGUGUGUGUGUGUGUGUGUGUGUGUGUGUGUGUGUGUGUUUAAUCUUCUGAUGUCAAAGCAGUUUAGAGUGGUCAAGUCCUUUGCUUUUUCUCUUGCAGCUGAACAAUGAAGACAAAUGUAAAAUAAUUUGCUACCUUUUAAUUUGUUGUAUUGUAUUUACUGCAGACCAAUAAAAAUCAAUUCAGACUUUACUGAAUUCAGCUGUUUACACUUGUAAAAAAUUAAUUAAAAGCAUCUUUGUUUUAAAAAAAAAAAAAAAAACUAUAUUAUUGAACAAAUUCCAAAGCACAGACUACGUAAGUAGACUUUUUGUAAAGUUGUUUGUUAUAGCAUCCAUUAGUUUUCAUUCAUUUCCUCUUCAUUUCACAAUGUGAAUGACCUUGCAAAAACUUUUUACUUUUUAAAUGAAAGACAAACCACCCCUAUGAAUAGACAGCAUCUGCAUUAAUUAGUAACACUGGUUUUUCAGCUAUAAAUACAAUAUAUUCACACACUACAGAAAUUUUCUCUUACUCAAAAAAUGCAAAACACACAGUGGAUGCUCCACAGAUUCAUACUCCACCCUGAUCUUCACCAUCAUGUCUGCAUAUAUGAAGCAAAAAAUACUUACUGCAGUAAUACUGGAUGUUAGCAUGCUUAAAUCAUGAGCUGCCAUGUUAUUCUCUGAAUACUCUGCUAUAUGUUGAUUGAUUACUCAAGCAAGUUUCAGUUGAGUUUCAAGCUGUGUAAAUUGCUUGGAUUUGUAGUCUCCAAGUCCAAGCUCAGAUAGCCCUGAUGAAAAUACAUAUGAUUUCUUAGUCUAACCUGUACAGAGCCACAGGAUAAAGUGUUGGUGGAUUGCCUUAUACAUCUCGUGCAAACAUCUCAUGACUGUUUCUCUUGGUCUUUCACACAAAACCAGCUAAGCUGAAGAAACACUGGACACAGAUUAAGAUCUAGGGACUCUAGUACAACAUAAUAUAAUAAUUUGGGAGUUAACAUAUUUUAACAAGUCACAAAUUUGUACCCCUAAAGUGUAACUUUUUGAGAUACCUUGUGUCUAUAUUUUAAAAAUUGUGUUUAUUUUUGUCAUGCUUUCUAAAAAUGGAUUC
ensembl:lncRNA